rnacentral:pre_miRNA from 1 species
UUAAAUAAGUUUGUAUGGAGUUGGAAAGUUUGCCUACGUUUGCCGCUAGGGGCGCUGUUCCAACUCCAUACAAAAUUGAGUUA